rnacentral:rRNA from 1 species
CCUACGGGAGGCAGCAGUAGGGAAUCUUCCACAAUGGGCGCAAGCCUGAUGGAGCGACACCGCGUGAGUGAAGAAGGGUUUCGGCUCGUAAAGCUCUGUUGUUGGAGAAGAACGUGCGUGAGAGUAACUGUUCAUGCAGUGACGGUAUCCAACCAGAAAGUCACGGCUAACUACGUGCCAGCAGCCGCGGUAAU